rnacentral:rRNA from 1 species
AAAUGAACGGGUACUUGUACCUGGUGGCGAGCGGCGGACGGGUGAGUAAUGCCUAGGAAUCUGCCUGGUAGUGGGGGAUAACGCUCGGAAACGGACGCUAAUACCGCAUACGUCCUACGGGAGAAAGCAGGGGACCUUCGGGCCUUGCGCUAUCAGAUGAGCCUAGGUCGGAUUAGCUAGUUGGUGAGGUAAUGGCUCACCAAGGCGACGAUCCGUAACUGGUCUGAGAGGAUGAUCAGUCACACUGGAACUGAGACACGGUCCAGACUCCUACGGGAGGCAGCAGUGGGGAAUAUUGGACAAUGGGCGAAAGCCUGAUCCAGCCAUGCCGCGUGUGUGAAGAAGGUCUUCGGAUUGUAAAGCACUUUAAGUUGGGAGGAAGGGCAUUUACCUAAUACGUAAGUGUUUUGACGUUACCGACAGAAUAAGCACCGGCUAACUCUGUGCCAGCAGCCGCGGUAAUACAGAGGGUGCAAGCGUUAAUCGGAAUUACUGGGCGUAAAGCGCGCGUAGGUGGUUUGUUAAGUUGGAUGUGAAAUCCCCGGGCUCAACCUGGGAACUGCAUUCAAAACUGACAAGCUAGAGUAUGGUAGAGGG